rnacentral:misc_RNA from 1 species
AUAUCAGCUUCCCCCUUCGCCCUUCUUCCGAUUCCCUUGCUCAGUGCGACGACCUUGCAGCUUCAUUGACGCGCAGAGAGAGAGGCUAGUGAGAGAAAAAAGAGGAACCAUACUAAGAAGCAUCAAACGUAGCACGGCGCUUGGGGUCGGCACGCAUCGUCCUUGAAUCAUUGACUCGAAGGCACACGCACACCGAUAUAUAUAUAUAUAUACAUAUACAUAGUCCCCUUCCUGCUACCGCCAAUUCGGGCAUCUGCGCAGAACUUUUGUGCUACAGCGAUACAGAAGCAAACGAAGCACAAACGGCGGAGGAGGACAUAAAAAGAAUACGAUCGGGAAAGUAAAUCAGUGAGCAUACUUAUGCAGGUGUAGUAAGCUGAUAACAACUGCUCGCGUCUGCCUGUGUCGUUCAUUCACUUCUCCUGUCCUUCUUCCUCAUUAGCUCUUUCCUCCCUCUUCUUUUCGUUUUUUUUUCACGUCCUGCUCCUGUACGCUGACCCCCACCCACCCACACACUUCCCCCGUGAAAUUCACACCUCGAUUUCUCUCUCGGUGGAUGCGUCCUUGUUGUUUUUGAGGCUGCGCUGACUUUACUGCUGCUGUGGUUUAUCUAUACAUCUUGGUAGCGGCACCUUCUGUCCAUUACGUUUUCCGUCAAGUGUGGACCGCCUCUGCCGUUGCUGUUUUUCGUUGCCCCCUCUUUUGUGUGUUUAUUUCGUCUUGCGGUCGGUGGUUGUCCUUUUUUGUGGCAGGCCCUUUGUUUUUUUUUUCUUCCUCUUUCUGUUAUUAUUAUUACUACUAUUAUAUUAUUGUGUUCCCCCGACACCGUUGAUCGGUGCAA